GUGUGUUGGAGCCAGAGGGAGGAGAGGUGUGGGCAGGGCAGCUGUUAGAGCCGCGUCCGGGAGGGAAACCCGAGGCCCCGAGCUGGAAGGGACAGGCGUCGUCGUCGCCGCGUUGCCUCUGCUUCACCCGCGCGCCUGAGAGCGCCGCCUCCGCCAGGUGGAAGCAGGAUCGAGGCUGGUUUCUUCGGUAAACUGGGAAGCAGACUCUUGAGUUCACAGCUGGCCUGUGGGUUUUGCAUCUCGUUAAGGAGCACCUCGUCAUACAGCUUUCCAGCAGAACGAAUCGCUGCUUCUCUGCUCACACAGCCCGCUGCCCUCACCAUGGAGUGUGUGGCCUUGAGUUUUUGCUCCUGCCUUCUUGUCCUGCUUCUACAUUAACACUCCUCAUCGUUCAGCCUUUGCAGUCGCUUUGUUUGGGUGUGUGCAGCGCUAAGCAAAGAGAAAGACGUCAUCUUCUGGUUUCUGCAUGUACUUUCCACAACCUGGUCGAGGUUCCAGCCAACAAGUCCACGUAAAAGCAGUCGCCUAACCAUGGUGUCUUCUCCCUGAUGCUGAGCCCCAGUUGUACAGCUGCCUGAAGGAGAAUUUAGUGAAAGACAAGGCAGCAAAAGAAAUCCGAGUCUCAGCUGACCCCCUGCGUGUUCUUAGGGUUGCCUAGAGUCAGGACUUCAGCUUUGCCCAGGAAUUUCCAGUCUCCACGGAAUCCAGUUUGUCUGCCAUACUUGAAAAAUAAACUAAGAAAAGAAAUUGCAGUUUAAAAGCCCAGAUGUUAAAAUAUGAGUAGGAUUUGUUUUUUAGUCUGUUUUUGGAAUUUGGAAGUUUAUCUACUAUUUUGUGUUGCUCCGUCCCUGCAGAAGCUGAAUGCAAGGUGGUGGUUGUGUGUCUGGUCUUCACGCCGCCAAACACAUCGGGAGUGCUUACGAAUUCAUAAUAAUACGAACUCUUUGAGCUUCCAGGAGAUAUCUGAUUCGCAGAGUGCCUCCUGGUGUAUAAUACCAUCCUAAUCAGGGUAGAAAAGAAAUGACGUAGGUCAAGCCGUCAAGUUGUUGAGCUGGUCCUCGUCCUCACAGGGGCUCUCACACACAGGUGGGCGUUCAGGCACACGUCACAGAGCUCUUGAGUUGGAUCGUGACUACCUCACAUCAUCCUACUUGGAAAAUCCAAGAAGUGAUACAGAGCCUGAAUUUCCAUAGAGCUUCUGAACUUUGUGUUUUGGACUUCUGAUAGGUGCUUUUCUUUCAUUCAUGAAAUGUUUACCGUUUCUAAAGAUGGGACUGCUGGCAUUUCAAUGGUAGAAUUUGUGUAUCAGGGCAUAU
rnacentral:lncRNA from 1 species